GAUGAACGCUGGCGGCGUGCCUAAUACAUGCAAGUCGAGCGGACCUCAGAGAGCUUGCUCUCUGAGGUUAGCGGCGGACGGGUGAGUAACACGUGGGUAACCUGCCUGUAAGACGGGGAUACCUUCGGGAAACCGAAGCUAAUACCGGAUGAUAAAGAGAAACGCUUGUUUCUUUUUUGAAAGUCGGCCUUGUGCUGACGCUUACAGAUGGGCCCGCGGCGCAUUAGACUAGUUGGUGAGGUAACGGCUCACCAAGGCGACGAUUCGUAGCCGACCGGGGAGGGUUAUCGUCCACACUGUGACUGAGACACGGCCCAGACUCCUACGGGAGGCAGCAGUAGGGAAUCUUCGGCAAUGGACGAAAGUCUGACCGAGCAACGCCGCGUGAGCGAUGAAGGCCUUCGGGUCGUAAAGCUCUGUUGUCAGAGAAGAACAAGUACCGGAGUAACUGCCGGUACCUUGACGGUACCUGACCAGAAAGCCACGGCCAACUACGUGCCAGCCGCCGCCGUAA
rnacentral:rRNA from 1 species